CCUACGUGUGGCAGCAGUGAGGAAUAUUGGUCCAUGGACGAGAGUCUGAACCAGCCAAGUAGCGUGAAGGAUGACUGCCCUAUGGGUUGUAAACUUCUUUUAUAUGGGAAUAAAACAGGGUAUGCAUACCCUCUUGUAUGUACCAUAUGAAUAAGGAUCGGCUAACUCCGUGCCAGCAGCCGCGGUAAUACGGAGGAUCCGAGCGUUAUCCGGAUUUAUUGGGUUUAAAGGGAGCGUAGGUGGAUUGUUAAGUCAGUGGUAAAAAGUCGGGGCUCAACCCCGUCGUGCCGUUGAAACUGAUGUGCUUGAGUGGGCGAGAGGUAUGCGGAAUGCGUGGUGUAGCGGUGAAAUGCUUAGAUAUCACGCAGAACUCAGAUUGCGAAGGCAGCAUACCGGCGCCCAACUGACGCUGAAGCACGAAAGCGUGGGUAUCGAACAGGAUUAGAUACCCCAGUAGUC
rnacentral:rRNA from 1 species